rnacentral:lncRNA from 1 species
GUAGAUGUGUUCUGGUAUGCGAUCGAUGCUGUUCCGGCCAUGGCUUGGCUUCCACUGAAAGAUCUGCAGGAAGAGAGCAGGACACAGAAGAGGUGACUUCUAUUGAACUCACUAGUACAGCUCCACAGUAUGACUUAGAAGAGAUGAUUUCUUUUGGUCACUGAUGCACAGCUCCACGAAGGAGAAACAAAGCAAGAUCCCCUGUUAACACUGACGUAUUUGUAGCUUGGUGUCUUUGCUUCGCGCAUAUUUGUGAUCUCAGCACCCGAUUUAACCGCGUUUUCUUCUUGCGUAUUUUGCAAGUUUAGUCCAAGUUAGUAUCAAAUAUCAGUACUUGGACAGUAUUUUUCUCACUUAUGGAAUUAUGACAGUACAUUGUCAACUAAUGGGAGAAAAAAAAGGGUUAAAACUGAGAGAUGUAUCAGUCUGUGUAAUUUUUUUCCUUGCUUUGCAGAGUCGGACACGCGGAAGGGCGGAACCAGACGAAGCAAGGAGAAUAAAACAGCACACGGAAAGGGACUUUGGUUGACUUGCAUUUCCAGUUCAGAACGACUUGGGGAAAUGGUGCCACGGAAGAGGAGCAACCAAGUAAAUAACCACCAGCACUGACGCGUCUGUUGAACUACUCCGUAUUAAACUGAAUCAGUACCAGCCAGUGCAUAUAAUACAUUUGUAACUUUGCAGGUUCCUCCAUCCGAGGACGAUGGAGAUACUUCUGUUGACUGGGUCGAAAGUAGCUGCUGAAGCAGUUGCUGGGUAAUGCAUGUUGCUUCCCUCCCAUUGGACAAUUUCCUUUGACUCUUCUCAUUUGAUUCUUAUGUUCAUCCCAAAGGUGGUUUGUUAACCAAGAGUUUUGUUUUUGAGCGGCGUAGCUACCUCGCUUGUUUUUGACAAGCAGAUUUCUUGUUCGGUUCUCAUACGACUGUCUAUGUAGAGUAAACUAAAACGAAGAUCGGGCAACGUUUUUUUUUUAUUCUCGAUAAAGAUGGUAGUUGUGCCAUUUUCGUAUGUGUGAUCAUUUGUACCAGCUCCAUGAUUAAUCAAUAAAUCUCUAUUUACCCCUAAGAAAACAAA